GACGUAGGGUCCAAGCGUUGUCCGGAUUUACUGGGCGUAAAGAGCGCGUAGGCGGCUCGGUAAGUGUGAAGUGAAAUCUCCAGGGCUCAACCCGGAAACUGCUUUACAUACUGUCGAGCUGGAGUGAUGAAGAGGUUUGUGGAAUUCCUGGUGUAGCGGUGAAAUGCGUUGAUAUCAGGAGGAACACCCAUGGCGAAGGCAGCAAACUGGUCAUCAACUGACGCUGAGGCGCGAAAAGCGUGGGUAGCAAAACAGG
rnacentral:rRNA from 1 species